UUCCAUUGCUCUAUUGUCUUGUUUCCCUGAUGCAGAUUGAGCACAGAAACGAGGUGGUAUCGAUUUAUUCCAUCGAUGCUGAGUUUACAAAACCGUUUUGGGUUUUCGGUGCUUCCUCCUUUGAUUUCAUCCCAACCAAUGGCAACAACAACUUAAUUUCUUGCAGCUACAGCUGUAAUUGAUAACAUGCAGACAGUUUGAGAUGAAGUGUAUGUGAGUUGGAUUAGUAAUAUGAUGGGAUGAAGAUGGGUUUGCGUUUU